rnacentral:sRNA from 1 species
UUGUAGCUGUCUGACUUCACCGGAAUGUUGGCUUUAGAAGAUUCUAUUCUGCUGGCUAGUGGAACAGAGUCAGUAGAAAAUGACACCUUCAAAACUCUGAGUACUUUGAAGACCUUAGAACUCUGGAAAAAUAAGUUAAGUCCCCAGUGCUCUCCCAGCCAGUCUUGAAGUGUUAAAACUAAAUGACAAGUGUUUCCAUGCUUUGCAGGCUCCGAGGGACCUUAACCGGGCUGGACCUAAAACGCAAUGUCAUCCAGAAUAUUGCUGAAUGGGAGCUCAAGGACCUCAAGCAGCUUCAUGUUCUAAGCCUGAGGAACAAUAAGAUCUUUGCCUUAGACCUAAAAGCCUUAGAGGGUCUAACUCACCUCAGGCACCUGUACCUGGAUGGAAAUCCCUGGAAUUGCACCUGCAGUCUCUUAAAAGCGAGAGAAGCCCUGAUGGCCAAGGGCAUAGAUGUAAGGGGAGGACAAUGUGCAGCACCAGCUGAACAGCAAGGGGAGAGCUGGAUGUCCUCCAAGAAGAUCAUGAGGCAAUGUGAGCAUCACUUUCAUCUGACUGAGAAAAGCAAAGAGACCAAUAAGAAAUCAAAACCUGAAGACCCCUCCAGCAUCAGAAUCAACAUGGAUGAUGGAUGAUUAUAACUAUGAAAUAGAUUAA